rnacentral:rRNA from 1 species
AACGAACGCUGGCGGCGUGCCUAACACAUGCAAGUCGAACGGAUUUUGGCCUGUAGCAAUACAGGUUAGAAUGAGUGGCGCACGGGUGAGUAAUACGUGGAUAAUCUGCCUCCGAGGUUCGGAUAACCUGCCGAAAGGCGGGCUAAUACGGAAUAAGACCACAUCCGCUUAGGCGGAAGAGGUUAAAGGUGCCUGGGUAACCAGGUAGCACUUGGAGAUGAGUCCGCGGCCCAUCAGCUAGUUGGUAGGGUAAUGGCCUACCAAGGCUAUGACGGGUAGCUGGUCUGAGAGGACGACCAGCCACACUGGAACUGAGACACGGUCCAGACUCCUACGGGAGGCAGCAGUGGGGAAUAUUGGACAAUGGGCGAAAGCCUGAUCCAGCCAUGCCGCGUGUGUGAAGAAGGUCUUCGGAUUGUAAAGCACUUUAAGUUGGGAGGAAGGGUUGUAGAUUAAUACUCUGCAAUUUUGACGUUACCGACAGAAUAAGCACCGGCUAACUCUGUGCCAGCAGCCGCCGUAAUAC